ACUAACGCUGGCGGCGUGCUUAACACCUGCAAGUCGAACGGAAAGGCCCUGCUUUUGUGGGGUGCUCGCGUGGCGAACGGGUGAGUAACACGUGAGUAACCUGCCCUUGACUUUGGGAUAACUUCAGGAAACUGGGGCUAAUACCGUAUAGGAGCUCCUGCUGCAUGGUGGGGGUUGGAAAGUUUCGGCGGUUGGGGAUGGACUCGCGGCUUAUCAGCUUGUUGGUGGGGUAGUGGCUUACCAAGGCUUUGACGGGUAGCCGGCCUGAGAGGGUGACCCGCCACAUUGGGACUGAGAUACGGCCCAGACUGCUACGGGAGGCAGCAGUGGGGAAUAUUGCACAAUGGGCGGAAGCCUGAUGCAGCAACGCCGCGUGCGGGAUGACGGCCUUCGGGUUGUAAACCGCUUUCGCCUGUGACGAAGCGUGAGUGACGGUAAUGGGUAAAGAAGCACCGGCUAACUACGUG
rnacentral:rRNA from 1 species